AUCCAACUGAUAAGCCCUAAAUAGGACGAAACGCGCGUCUUGGAU
rfam:Schistosoma mattheei strain Denwood, Zambia genome assembly, scaffold: SMTD_scaffold0014654